AGUCCACUGUACAAAGGUAGGAAAUUCAGAGAAUCAGCUGCAAACAUAAAUCUACAUUUUUCUUUGAGAAAUUUGGAAGCACAUUGUUUCCUGAAAUCUUAACAAACUGAAGCAUGAUAAGAGAAUAUAUUGAGUUGUGCAAGAUAAACAUUGGACCAAGAAGCUCUGAAAUUCUGGAUAUACAGCUGGGCAGGACUAGAACAAACAGC
rnacentral:lncRNA from 1 species